AUGAGGCUGCUGGGUCUUGUCCUGUGUCUGAUGACAGCUCCCCAAGGUGUUCUGUGCCAGGUGCAGUUGCAGGAGUCGGGACCUGGCCUGGUGAAGCCCUCGCAGACCCUGUCCCUCACCUGUGCUGUCUCUGGUUACUCCAUCACAACCAGUGGUUACUGGUGGAACUGGAUCUGUCAGCUCCCAGUGAAGGGGCUGGAGUACAUAGGGUACAUCUAUAGUAAUGGUAACACUUAUUACAGCCCAUCCCUCAAGAGCUGAGUGUCCAUCACCAGAGACACGUCCAAGACCCAGUUCUCCCUGCAGCUGAGCUCCCUGACCACUGAGGACACGGCCACCUAUUACUGUGCCAGACCCAGA